rnacentral:sRNA from 1 species
CGAACCGCCGCGCCUCGCCCAGGACAGGUACACUUAGAGGCCUUUUGUGUCCAGCUGGGCAGAAGUGCUGCACCACAGGCUGUGGUCGGAUCUGCUGAGACAUUCCUAAGGCAGAGUUUGGUGGUGAAUGUCCUGCUGACCCCCUUCCGUGUGAGGAGCUGUGUGAUGGGGAUGCAUCCUGUCCCCAGGGGCAUAAAUGCUGCAGCACCGGCUGUGGCCGCACCUGCCUUGGAGACAUUGAGGGAGGGCGGGGCGGUGAUUGUCCAAAAGUUCUGGUGGGCCUGUGCAUUGUUGGCUGUGUGAUGGAUGAGAAUUGUCAAGCUGGAGAAAAAUGUUGC